UCGGGAAUUUUGCUCAAUGGGCGAAAGCCUGAAGCAGCAACGCCGCGUGAGGGAUGAAGGCCUUCGGGUUGUAAACCUCUUUUCUCAGGGACGAUGAUGACGGUACCUGAGGAAUAAGCCACGGCUAACUACGUGCCAGCAGCCGCGGUAAUACGUAGGUGGCAAGCGUUGUCCGGAAUUACUGGGCGUAAAGAGCGCGCAGGCGGCCGAGUAAGUCGAAUGUGAAAGCCCCCGGCUCAACUGGGGAACGUCAUUCGAUACUGUUCGGCUAGAAGGUAGGAGAGGGAAGCGGAAUUUCAGGUGUAGUGGUGAAAUGCGUAGAUAUCUGAAGGAACACCAGUGGCGAAGGCGGCUUUCUGGCCUAUUCUUGACGCUGAGGCGCGAAAGCUAGGGGAGCGAACGGGAUUAGAUACCCCGGUAGUCCUAGCCGUAAACGAUGAACACUAGAUGUUGGUGGUAUCAACCCGCAGUGUCGUAGCUAACGC
rnacentral:rRNA from 1 species